CAGAAAACAAAGGGAAGAGUGUCGUCAAGGAUGAACUCCAUGUGAGGCAGGCCAUGGUUAAGUUUGUUUUCAGGAAAAUACCUCCAGAAGGGUACAGUCCACCCGCCCAAGGGAACUGACAAGAAAAAGAGCUACUAGUCAUGAGAGAGAGGGUUGCCUUAGAAACUGUGAUGUUUUGUGGCUUCUUUUUGAAUGCUCUUUCUAUGGACCUGGAAUUUUACAUAAACUGAGACAUCUGUAAGCAAACUCUAAGUGCAAGAGAACAAUAAGGGUGUUGUCAGACAUUUGAAUGAGGCCAAAAAGAAAGUUGGGAAAAAUUCCUCUUUUAACAAUAUCCAUUAUUCUGAUUGUAACCAUUCUUCUCAACGUACAUGACUAUUUUAACAAAAGUACCAAAAAGUAAAAAGAAGCAAGUAAUCCCAACAGAGAGAGAUAAUUAUUACAAACAUUUGAUGUAUUUCUA